rfam:Bacillus sp. B-jedd genome assembly, contig: CONTIG000001
UUACAACUCUUGAGAUAAUGAUUUAAGGGCGUCUAGUUUGGUAACGAACUAGAGUAUAACUGGGUGAAUUGCUGGAACUUCCUAAAGCUUCAUCAACCACAACGUAAUUGGAAACGAUUAGCGUAAAGGUUUGAAAAUGAUGGAGAUGAACCAAUGGAUAAUCAGCAGCCAAGCUCCUGUGAGGAAACUCUGGAGAAGGUUCAACGACUAGAGAACACGGUCUAAGGCGAAUGCUAUGGCUAUGAAUCUCGUAGGGCAGCCAAUGCUGUUCGAAGUGCCCAGCUCCAUGAAAACUGUGGAUGAAGAUAUAGUCUAUUCUGUACUCGAAAGAUACAG